rnacentral:rRNA from 1 species
AGAGUUUGAUCAUGGCUCAGGAUGAACGCUGGCGGCGUGCCUAAGACAUGCAAGUCGAGUGGGUUUAGACCCACGGCAAACGGGUGAGUAAUACCUAGGAACUUUCUUUAAGUUGAGGAUAUCCCAUCGAAAGAUGGUGCAAUACUCAAUGUGGCAGUAAUGCUAAAGUCGCAAGACGCUUAAAGUGAGGCCUGGGCACCAUCAGCUAGUUGGUAAGGUAAUGGCUUACCAAGGCUAUGACGGUUAGGGGCCCCGAGAGGGGAGUCCCCCACACUGGAACUGCGACACGGUCCAGACUCCUACGGGAGGCAGCAGUUUGGAAUUUUGGACAAUGGGCGAAAGCCUGAUCCAGCGACGCCGCGUGGACGAUGAAGGCCUUCGGGUUGUAAAGUCCUUUUGCUCGGGAACAAUAUUUUGAGCGUACCGAGAGAAUAAGAGGUUGCUAACUCUGUGCCAGCAGCGGCGGUAAUAC